rnacentral:rRNA from 1 species
UACGGGGGGGGGCAAGCGUUGUUCGGAAUUACUGGGCGUAAAGGGCUCGUAGGCGGCCAACUAAGUCAUACGUGAAAUCCCUCAGCUUAACUGGGGAACUGCGUGUGAUACUGGAUGGCUUGGAUUUGGGAGAGGGAUGCGGAAUUCCAGGUGUAGCGGUGAAAUGCGUAGAUAUCUGGAGGAACACCGGUGGCGAAGGCGGCAUCCUGGACCAAUAUUGACGCUGAGGAGCGAAAGCCAGGGGAGCAAAGCGGG